UGGAAGUUCUUUUGGUGCUCAUGUAUGAGGUAAGAGGCUUUCGAAUUUCUGACUGAUUUUCCAUCUCCUAUUUCUCGCCUAUUCAUUCAAUUUGCUAGUGCAUGGAAGAAGAGGAUGUGGGUUUUUCUAAUAGUAUGAUCCUUCAACCUUGCCACGUAUGAGAGACCUCAUCAACAAAUUAAUCUUAAAAAAAAAGAAUUUGAAGAGUAAGAUCCGGGUGUGCAGAGGGAGGAAAAAGUAUUUGGCAUGGUGUUUACUUACUUCUUGGGUGUUCCCAGGGGGUAUGUUGCAACUGAAGCAGAUUGUUGGGAAUUAGGAUGUGAAGGACUUCACUCUAUAGAUAAAGCAAUCAGGGAAAGGGUCUAAAUGUAUCUGUUUGCAACUUUUGGGGUCUUUGUGUAACUUAUUAAGAAAAUCAUAAAUGGAAAUACUUAAUAUUUGAUACUUGCUAUGUCCUUGAAUGUUAUUUUUAUAGUCAAGAAUGACAUGUUAUAAUAAUUUUUGACAUUGUAAAUUCACAUUUCAGCUACUAAUGAAUCUAAUUUAAAACUAUUGUUCAACUGUGCUGGCAUAGAGUGCUAAUGUAUAGCUUAACUGAUACAACACCGAUACAUAAUCUAACUGAUAUAAUCAAACUGAACAUAUACAAAAGUGAUUUAGUUGUAUCAAGAUUCAAUCAAACUGGUACAUAACCUAACUGUGUAGAACUGAUGCAUAGGAAUCACAGUAAUUGCAAAACAAAUCUAAUAUGAGCAGUAACAUUGUAAAAACAAAAUAAUUUGAAAUAUAUAUAAAUGCAAUAAAAAUAUAAUUAGAAAUACAAUAUAAUUUAAAAAUAUAAUGAAAAUAUAAAUAAAU
rnacentral:lncRNA from 1 species